rnacentral:rRNA from 1 species
UACGUAGGCAGCGAGCGUUGUUCGGAAUUACUGGGCGUAAAGAGUGUGUAGGCGGUGCUCCCAGUCUGUUGUGAAAUCUCCCGGCUUAACUGGGAGGGUGCAGCGGAAACUAGAGUGCUAGAGGGUGGGAGAGGUAAGCGGAAUUCCUGGUGUAGCGGUGAAAUGCGUAGAUAUCAGGAGGAACACCUGUGGUGUAGACAGCUUACUGGAC